rnacentral:rRNA from 1 species
GCACAAGCGGUGGAUGAUGUGGAUUAAUCGAUGCAACGCGAAAACCUUACCUACCCUUGACAUGUCCGGAAUCCUGCAGAGAUGCGGGAGUGCCCGAAAGGGAAUCGGAACACAGGUGCUGCAUGGCUGUCGUCAGCUCGUGUCGUGAGAUGUUGGGUUAAGUCCCGCAACGAGCGCAACCCUUAUCAUUAGUUGCUACGCAAGGGCACUCUAAUGAGACUGCCGGUGACAAACCGGAGGAAGGUGGGGAUGACGUCAAGUCCUCAUGGCCCUUAUGGGUAGGGCUUCACACGUCAUACAAUGGUCGGUACAGAGGGUUGCCAAGCCGCGAGGUGGAGCCAAUCCCAGAAAGCCGAUCGUAGUCCGGAUUGUUCUCUGCAACUCGAGAGCAUGAAGUCGGAAUCGCUAGUAAUCGCGGAUCAGCAUGUCGCGGUGAAUACGUUCCCGGGUCUU